rnacentral:tRNA from 1 species
GGGCAAGUGGCUGAGUAUGGUUUAAAGCGUUUGGCUUGAAACUAAAUAUGUAUUUACAUGCGGAGGUUCAAAUCCUUCCUUGCCCG